rnacentral:rRNA from 1 species
AGCCAUAAACUUAAGUAGUUAACAAACAAUACUACUCGCCAGAGUACUACAAGCAACAGCUCAAAACUCAAAGGACUUGGCGGUGCUUUAUACCCCUCUAGAGGAGCCUGUUCUAUAAUCGAUAAACCCCGAUAGACCCUACCACUUCUUGCUAAUCCAAUCUAUAUACCGCCAUCCCCAGCAAACCCUAUCAAGGCCCUAAAGUAAGCGCAAGCAUAUUACAUAAAAACGUUAGGUCAAGGUGUAGUCUAUGAAGUGGGAAGAAAUGGGCUACAUUUUCUAAUAACAGAACAGCACAUAUAACAGCAACCUUUAUGAAACUAAAGGCCAAAGGAGGAUUUAGUAGUAAAUUAAGAAUAGAGAGCUUAAUUGAAUAGGGCCAUGAAGC